UGAACGCUGGCGGCAUGCUUUACACAUGCAAGUCGAACGGCAGCGGGGUAGUGCUUGCACUACUGCCGGCGAGUGGCGAACGGGUGAGUAAUAUAUCGGAACGUACCGAGUAAUGGGGGAUAACCAAUCGAAAGAUUGGCUAAUACCGCAUACGUCCUAAGGGAGAAAGCGGGGGAUCGCAAGACCUCGCGUUAUUCGAGCGGCCGAUAACUGAUUAGCUAGUUGGUGGGGUAAAGGCCCACCAAGGCGACGAUCAGUAGCGGGUCUGAGAGGACGAUCCGCCACACUGGGACUGAGACACGGCCCAGACUCCUACGGGAGGCAGCAGUGGGGAAUUUUGGACAAUGGGGGCAACCCUGAUCCAGCCAUGCCGCGUGUAUGAAGAAGGCCUUCGGGUUGUAAAGUACUUUUGUUAGGGAAGAAAAGGGAAGUGCUAAUACCACUUUUUGCUGACGGUACCUAAAGAAUAAGCACCGGCUAACUACGUGCCAGCAGCCGCGGUAAUACGUAGGGUGCAAGCGUUAAUCGGAAUUACUGGGCGUAAAGCGAGCGCAGACGGUUACUUAAGCAGGAUGUGAAAUCCCCGGGCUUAACCUGGGAACUGCGUUCUGAACUGGGUAGCUAGAGUAUGUCAGAGGGGGGUAGAAUUCCACGUGUAGCAGUGAAAUGCGUAGAGAUGUGGAGGAAUACCGAUGGCGAAGGCAGCCCCCUGGGAUAAUACUGACGUUCAUGCUCGAAAGCGUGGGUAGCAAACAGGAUUAGAUACCCUGGUAGUCCACGCCCUAAACGAUGUCGAUUAGCUGUUGGGCAACUUGAUUGCUUAGUAGCGUA
rnacentral:rRNA from 1 species